GAGUUUGAUCCUGGCUCAGAUUGAACGCUGGCGGCAGGCCUAACACAUGCAAGUCGAGCGGUAGAGAGAAGCUUGCUUCUCUUGAGAGCGGCGGACGGGUGAGUAAUGCCUAGGAAUCUGCCUGGUAGUGUGGGGGAUAACGUUCGGAAACGGACGCUAAUACCGCAUACGUCCUACGGGAGAAAGCAGGGGACCUUCGGGCCUUGCGCUAUCAGAUGAGCCUAGGUCGGAUUAGCUAGUUGGUGAGGUAAUGGCUCACCAAGGCGACGAUCCGUAACUGGUCUGAGAGGAUGAUCAGUCACACUGGAACUGAGACUCGGUCCAGACUCCUACGGGAGGCAGCAGUGGGGAAUAUUGGACAAUGGGCGAAAGCCUGAUCCAGCCAUGCCGCGUGUGUGAAGAAGGUCUUCGGAUUGUAAAGCACUUUAAGUUGGGAGGAAGGGCAGUUACCUAAUACGUGAUUGUUUUGACGUUACCGACAGAAUAAGCACCGGCUAACUCUGUGCCAGCAGCCGCGGUAAUACAGAGGGUGCAAGCGUUAAUCGGAAUUACUGGGCGUAAAGCGCGCGUAGGUGGUUUGUUAAGUUGGAUGUGAAAUCCCCGGGCUCAACCUGGGAACUGCAUUCAAAACUGACUGACUAGAGUAUGGGUAGAGGGUGGUGGAAUUUCCUGUGUAGCGGUGAAAUGCGUAGAUAUAGGAAGGAACACCAGUGGCGAAGGCGACCACCUGGACUGAUACUGACACUGAGGUGCGAAAGCGUGGGGAGCAAACAGGAUUAGAUACCCUGGUAGUCCACGCCGUAAACGAUGUCAACUAGCCGUUGGGAGCCUUGAGCUCUUAGUGGCGCAGCUAACGCAUUAAGUUGACCGCCUGGGGAGUACCGCCGCAAGGUUAAAACUCAAAUGAAUUGACGGGGGCCCCG
rnacentral:rRNA from 1 species